GCUUAAUCAGACUGAUGAGGAAGGGGCUCAGCUACCUGUUGUCACACACAGUUAGAAAUGCACACACAGAGCACAGACCUGUGGGAAUGCCUGACACAUGCAUUUUAGACCUCAAGCACACCUCCUCUGACCUGAAUAUAUCAUUCAAACCUGAUGGAUGGCACAGCCAGCCACCUUCUGAUUAAAAUAGGAAAUUCACCCCAUAGUCUGCUGGUGAACAUGAAAUAAAGGUAAUGGUUAUACCUCUAUUACACACAUAGGGAAUGUAAGAGAAGGACUAUAAAGUUGAGGAAUUCCCUUGUUGUCUGCCCCGCCCCUGCCCUACCUGGCAUGCUGAUCUGACCUCUGGGAUAUCCCUUUCUGCCCAUCAAAUCUCAUUCCUAGUUGUGCUUUCUCUGUCCCCUUUUCUGCACUGCCAGGGGCUUUGGGGAAUCUAAAGCUAACAGACCAGCCCUAUCCUAGAAUAAGUGCGUAUUGCAGUCUUGUGCUGUUUGACAAUCUUCUCUUUGCUUGCUGUGGUAACUCCUGCUAUUGCAAUUUAUUCAACAAACUUAAUAACUUUGCCACACUUACCAAUGAUUGCCAGUUUAGGUUGUCUCAUUAAGGGUUAUCAGAUGCCCUAACUCAACAUACUAGGGUUGUAUUGAUCUGGGUGCAGCUUGGGCUUCAGGAUUUUUUUAAAGUUGCCCCAGGUCAUUUUAUUGUGUGGU
rnacentral:lncRNA from 1 species